ACUCAAAACUCAAAGGACUUGACGGUGUCCCAAACCAACCUAGAGGAGCCUGUCCUAUAAUCGAUACUCCACGCUACACCUUACCCCCCCUUGUAUACCAGUCUGUAUACCGCCGUCUACCAGUUCACCUUGUGACAGAACAAUAGCGAACAAACUAGCCCACCACUUAUACGACAGGUCAAGGUGCAGCCAACGGGGGGGCAGAGAUGGGCUACAUUUUCUACCCUACCAGAAUACCACCACCCGCCAAAUGAAACAUAGGCCCAAAGGCGGAUCUAGCAGUAAGCCAGACA
rnacentral:rRNA from 1 species